UUAAUACUGGAUAGAUCAAAGAUACUGGAAUGUUCUUUGGUUGAAAGCUCCGGCGCCCAAGGAUGGGUCUGCGGCCUAUCAGGUAGUAGUGGGUGUAACGUACCUACUAGCCUACGACGGGUAAGGGUUGUGAGAGCAAGAGCCCUGAGAUGGAUUCUGAGACAUGAAUCCAGGCCCUACGGGGUGCAGCAGGCGCGAAAGCUUUACACUGCGGGAAACCGCGAUAAGGGGACCCCGAGUGCCAGCACCUAGUGCUGGCUGUCCAGCUGUUCAAAAAACAGUUGUUAGCAAGGGCCGGGCAAGACCGGUGCCAGCCGCCGCGGUAACACCGGCGGCCCGAGUGGUAGCCGUUAUUAUUGGGUUUAAAGGGUCCGUAGCCGGCCUAUUAAGUCUCUUGGGAAAUCUGGCGACUCAAUCGUCAGGA
rnacentral:rRNA from 1 species